GCGAUGUUGGCGUAGUUGGUACCUAGUCUGCGUUUUGCUCGAAAGCGCCCGGUCGAGGGUUCGAAUCCCGAACACUGCA